rnacentral:rRNA from 1 species
GAAGGGAAAGCGCGCAAUUACCCACUCCUGACACAGGGAGGUAGUGACAAGAAAUAACAAUACGGGGCUUAUAGUCUUGUAAUUGGAAUGAUGGGAAUUUAAACCUCUUCCUCAGUAUCAAUUGGAGGGCAAGUCUGGCGCCAGCAGCCGCGGUAAUUCCUUCUCCAAUAGCGUAUAUUAAAAUUGUUGCAGUUAAAAAGCUCGUACUUGAAUUUCUGCUGCAUUGCUUGUGUCCCUCUGGGGUCUGUGCAUGUGGCUUUUUUCGGACGGAGUUUCUUUGUCUGAAUGUUUACUUUGACAAAAUUAAAGGGCCCAAAGCAGGCUUUCCCCUUGAAUAGUUUAGCAUGGAAUAAUAAAGUAGGACUUUGGCUCUAUUUUGUUGGUUUUAGGAACCAAAGUAAUGGUUAAUAGGAACAGUUGGGGGCAUUCCUAUUUAACUGUCAUAGGUGAAAUUCUUAGAUUUGUUAAAGACGAACUACUGCCAAAGCAUUUGCCACGGAUGUUUUCAUUAAACAAAAACGAAAGUUAGCGGAUCGAAGA